rnacentral:RNase_P_RNA from 8 species
AAGAGUAAGCGAGCAGUUGCGAAAUUAGUCUUAAAGUAUAAUGAAAAUUUGCUUUAAGUACGGAUUUUGAGGAAAGUCCGGGCUUCCAAGAAGAUCAGGCUGCUGGAUAACGCCCAGUGCGAGCAAUCGUGAGGAUAGUGCCACAGAAAGAUACCGCCUAACUUCGGUUAGGUAAGGGUGCAAAGGUGUGUUAAGAGCGCACCAGCAGGGUCGUGAGGCUCUGGCUCGGUAAACCCCAGUCGGAAGCAAGGCGAGAGGAAAUAAGCGUUGCGAUCUUCAAUAGACCUUAUUUCCGUGACUUAACUGCGUUUAGUGCGCGAAAGCGUGGCAAGCGUAGUUAAGUGUGUGCCGCAAGAGGUAUUUGGUAACAAAUAUCCCAGAUAGAUAACCGCUAGGGCAGUUGUUAUCAACUCCCAAAACAGAACCCGGCUUAUGUCUUACUCUUUCU